GAUUGAUAUUCAUGCUUGUGAAAUGAAUGCACAACUUUUAGUUUUCGAAGCUGUCAUGUCUUCGUCUUCUGUUUUGUUUUUGUCAUUUUAUAUAUUUGAAAACUCAGCUUGUUUGUGCUUUUGGAGAUGAUCGAUUAGACGUUAAUAGUCUCUCGCACCAAAGACUUAUAGGAGGCUCUUCGAUUUGGCAAGAUUUACUGUGCGUUUGGUCGUACCAAAUAUUGUGAUAUUUCAUGAAUGAUCAGUCUAUUUUGGGGCUCAAUAUCAUGAUAUUUGGUGCAACCAAACACACCCUCAUAAAAAUAUUGAGGAAUGAUAUCCUUGAACUUUUCUUUCCUCACUCCAUGCUACGAUCACGCAAUCUUAGGCUCCUUAUAAUUUUUGGGUUAGUUUAAUGUAGUGUUGGAAUUGCAUUAUACCCUCCUAUUUUGAUGGCUGUUGAGAUUUACAUAGUGUGGAGUUUGAUUCUAGCAUUGUUGAGAAUAUUGAUUUAAGAUGCAGGAAUUUACUCGCCCGAUUUUAUUGGAAGAAAAUGAAGUUUUAUCAAAUAUUGUAUGCUUGAUUGCUCUUCUUGUUUCAUUUUGUUUCACAAAGCUUGAUUCAUGAUGCUUCUCUUUCUUCACCUUGUUUUUUGAGGAUCGCUAACUCUUAACUUCAUUGAUUACGGGAUUGUCAUACCUACUGCUAAAACUAUUCCCUUUUUUUUUUUUUUUUUCUCUUAAAUAUUUUCACCUGCCGUUGUCUUUUAUUUUUUUAUUUUUAACGAACUUUUGUAUGUUGGAUAACUUGUGGAAGAUGUUAGAUUUUAUUGACAAUGUACAGUAACUGGGUCUGCGGCUGGUAACGGUUGCGAGGUUGGCAGCAAUGUGGGUGGUAAUGAUUUUUUUUUUUUUUUCAUAAUUCGGCAGGUCUUUCUCUUGAGAUUAGAGGUUGCUCUGGAUCGUUGCUGGGGAACAUCAAAGUGAGGAUCCAUAGACCGAAAAAAGGAUUAGUGGGGGGGCAUUAGUCUUACGACUUGCACCUACUUGAUGUGGAUGGCUUCUCUUUUCUCUCUUGUGCUAUUAUCCAACUCUAAUAAAAGGGAAGUCUCUCAGUCCAUGGUGCUCUCGUUUAAGACAUAGUGGGGUCCACCAAGUGGGGGCAACCAUCAUGAUCUGUAUGAUUGCCAUGUACGCUGAGUGGACGGUUCAGAUCCGACGGUGAUCUUGCUGUGUUGCCUGCUCCUGUAUGAGCAUAUACUAGAUAUCUUACUUGCCUUAUUUUGAUAAUACGAUUUUAUCCAUUGAAUGUGGACAACUUUUCAUUUCAUAGCCACUAAAUGGAUGGUUACGAUCUGGAUAGUUCUCCAUCCACAGUGGACACAUAAAUUGGAUGGUUUGCCUUUACUGUUGUGAUUUAUGGUUUCAAAACAAAGUGGCUCUUUUGUUGU